GGGGGGGUUCUCCAUUCUCCUCCUCUUUCCCCUCGUCUGCUCUAUGUAUCUUCAACAGAAGGAUAAAAAAAAGGCUGAACGAGGACAAGAGGAGAGGAGAGGAGGACGCUGCUUCCUUCCCUCGGUGUGGUUUCCUGUUUGUAGGUGGGAGGAUGUUGAGACGGUUGCAGCAGCGUUCACACAGUCUUGCAGCUUUUUAACACCCAGCGACGUUCUGAGGUGUCGCAGUUGCACCUCAUGAUUGGUUGUUGUGUGUGUGUGUGAAUCACUUUGUUCUGAGUUUCUGCUGCUCUGAGCUGCAGGCCUUCUUUUCCAGUUUCCACCAGCAGUUUGCAAGUUGCACUUGAGAGCGGCUGAGAGAGGGCAGUUUGAUCAGCCCACACACACACACAGUUCACCACGGUGAAGACGUGAACUUUUAUGGUUAGUGAGUCACCUGUUAGGUGAGUCACUAUCAGCAGAGGGUUGUCGCACGCUUGGUGAUCUUGUGCUCAGAGUUUGGACAGACUCAGCUCUGACAAAGAGCUGAUGCUCCGCUGUCACCUCUCUGAGGGUCUGUGAAACAAGAUCGACUCAUCGAGGAGGUGAUUGGGUGCAGCGAUGACAGAGGAGGAGAGUCGGUGACAAAGACGCUCAUAUCACCACAUCAGCUCAUCAGCGAGGAGAGACAGACGAGCCUGAGCGAAGACGUCUCCAGACAUGGCUGAUGUGUGUUUACUGUAAUCGCCUCAGGUGGACCCGAUACUGUGGAGGAGACCAGCUGCAGCUUCACCAAUCCUCCACCCUCCAUCCAACUGUCUCUCCAUACAGUUUGUCCUCAGGUGCAGAUGAACUAUGGAGGCCUCCUGGCUCCCCGUCCUUGUGUCGGCCGCUGUCCUCCUCGCCAUCAUCCUCCUCGCCGCCGUCUGUCUGGACUGUGGGAACAAAGGCCCGAUGGCCUCUAUUAGACAAGCAUCAGGGGACUACAUGCCAUCCACAGAUUUCAGAAUCAUCCAUUCGUGUAAGUGGCAGCUUUUUCACUAUAUAA
ensembl:lncRNA